AUUUUGUACCGGGAUUAGCGGAGCGGCGUCAUAGUGGUCGUUGGUCGUCAUAGUGUAGGCUAGCAUGUCAGUCCGGAGCAGCAGCGUGAAGUUAACGGGAGCCGUUUCGAUUGAGUGAGAUAAUAAUUAGUGUUUUCAAGUGUUUCAUCAGUAAGCUAAUAUUAUUGCCCGUGUUGCGGGGAGAGGGGCUAAGGGCGACUGAGACCGCGAGUGCCUCUUUCAUGAGCUCACCUAGAGGCUUUUCACAUUGUCAUUUUGGCACAGUCAGUGUCGGACCCGCACACAUACAUUCUUGCUGUUGAACAGAAGAAUAUGAAGAUCUCUGUUAAAAUGAUGAGCAUUUCCAAGAAUACAAUUGAUACCAGAUAUUCCUAGAAUGAGGUUUUCCUAAGUGGAAUGCAGCUGGAUAAAUUGUUACUGGAAAUAAUUGCAGCUGUCAAUAAUCUGACUACAUAAAUGCAAUGAAAGGUUAAGUGAUUCAAGUCUUCCACAUCCGAUCUACAACUGAAGAUUGUAUCACAAAUGCAACUGGUCAGGAACAGCAUUCAGUACUUAAAGUAGCAUGGUGCAGUAUUUGCCUACAGAUGUUCAAAAUUCAAAAAAGAAAAAACACUGGGGCAUAAGUGUUCAGUGUAACUUGUCUAGAAAGUUUGCGAUGGCUUGGGCAGUUUUUUCCUGGUGAGACACUAUCCAAUCUAGCCCUACUUUUUGUGGUAUUUUUGUGGGCAACUCAAAAACCAAUUUAGAAUUGAUACUCUAAAAUACUCUCAGGUACUGCAUAUACACAGAGUGGACAUAAAAGGAACUAAUGAAAUACCAAGUGCUGAGAAAUAAAUCAGAUUCUAACUUUUAUGUAACUUUAGAUGUUAGAACUAAUUCUUGUGCAUGGAGCUUAAUCUGGCUAUGAAUUUCUGCUGCUUGGAAUGGUUGUUUUCCCCACCCACAGAUUUGUUUUUGAAUGCUGCCAUAAUUGGCAGCUUGAAUGCCUUAAACCUCAUGGAUACUAACCCUUUGCUUUAAAGGUUAGUAGUUCAUUUUGCCCUAACUUUCUGUAUUCUUGCAUGCCUGCUAAUUGUGGUGUUUUUGUUCAGUGAGUCCAAGUCUCAAUUUUCUACUGUUCUUGUCACCUAGAAAGCUGGGGUUCACCUAUUAUGGCUGGACUUUGUAACCAGCCAUUAUUUGUAGUCUCUGUCAUUGUCAUACCUCUCCUAGAAAUGCUGACACAUGUGGAAACUGGGAGCAGAUAGGUAUCAUUUGUCACUUUUUACUGGUAGGCAGCUGGAGUAGCUGUUGAAUGGGCAUAGAAACUUUAGCUAUUUUCCCCUUUCACAGGUAAGACAAAGCUUGACCCUUCCCCCAAAUUCAGCUCUACCCCAGCAUUCGACAAUCACUGCUAAUACAGAUUUAACAACAGUAGAUGUGCAGAUUCAAAUGAAGAGCUUGAUAUUUCUGGGAAACUUUUUAAUAACGAACUAUUAAAAUGGAAGUAAGUUCUAUGACGUCCCAUUGGGCAUGUGGACAUUAAUAUGAAUUCAUGGCUGUAACAUCUAAUGUAAUGCAUUUUUUUCUUGUAUUGAAUUUUAAUACUCAGAUUGUAGGCUGAUCUCCUCUUUUGCAGAGAGAUAGUAGGGGUGUUUUUCUAAUAUGUGUUCUAGAUUUUCUGUAAAACCAACAGAUUGACUUUUACUUAGAAGGAGCUAAAUAAUUGCUUUGUUAUACACCUGCUGUCCUACUUCCACUUAAAUAUUUCAUUCUGCCAAACAGUUCUUGUAUUUUCAGCUUAGCCAUUUUCAUCCAAUCUCUUGAGCAAUAUUUCAGGAAAUAUGUGAAAUGCUAUGCCAAUCCCAAACAAGCCUGUUGGCACUGGGGCAAGCAGCAGCAGAUAUUACAAAAGAAAUGUACCUGCUGAUUGAAAUUUCUGCUUUAGCUUUCCUAAAUAAUUUCAUUCUACUUACAAUAGUAAAAUAUGGCAUAAAGCCCUAAGGUAAGUUUGUUAGUGACCCAAUAAUGUUGUUGAAUAGUGAUAUUGGAAUGAAAUUUGGUACAGAAAUUCAGAGUCCAGUUCUGCUUUUCAAGUUCCAUGGCCAUCUAUUUGGUUAGCUACCAGAAGCCCCAUUUUGCAGGAAAAGGGGGCACACAAAGGGAGCCAUCUCCCAAGAGCCCUGUGGAAUUAUUGAUUCUGCAGGAAAAUAUGCAGGAAGUAUGCUUUAUGUUUCCAAACAGAAUUGUGCUCCCAUAGCCUGUCAAGCAGCAAUUUCAUGGGCUGUCAGGCAUCUAAUUUUUCUGGCAAGCAAAGCAUGUACUUCCUAAGCAGCUUAUUUUGUUGCCGAAUCACUGUGAUUUUGGUAGCAGGAUUCAGGAGCUGCACAAAUUUUCAUGGCAGACUGUGUGCUACCCAGCCCUACUUUACAGAGUGCAAGAAGAUGGGUCACCUGUAAAAAUUUUCACAGGUGGGUGGUGUAUGAAAUGGACACGUAGUUAAAAUCAAAGAUAACAUUGAAAGUGUUGCAUGGCUUGACUAUUACUAUAACCUGUAUAGCAGCUAAAUGGAAAACUCCAAACCAUCCUAUGUUAAAUUGAUUCAGUAAAAUCUGUUUGUAUGUAUAAAUUGACAUGUUUAAGAAAUGAAAAAUAAUGGAAAGACAAACUUGUUAAAAAAAUGGUUUUUUAAUUCUUAGAACACUAAUUUUCAAGACACUAUAGUGUUAUCUCUCCUCUAAAAUACAUAUUUUCAUAUAAUUAAAAUGAUCAACAACUUG